rnacentral:sRNA from 1 species
GCGGCCCUUUCCGCCGUCUCGCAAGCGGGCGCUGGCUUAAGGAAAGGAUGUUCCGCGACCGUUAGAGCAAGCGCGUCUCAGCGCUUGCUAUCGCGGCAAUAUCGCCAGUGGUGCUGUCGUGAUGCGGUCUUCGCAUGGACCGCACAAUGAAGAUACGGUGCUUCUGUAUCGUACUUAUUGUUUCUGGUGCGCUGUUUCCCCAAGUAAAUAAUAACCGGAGUCUCUCCGGCGACAAUUUACUGGUGGUUAACAACCUUCAGAGCAGCAAGUAAGCCCGAAUGGGCCCCCCCCCUGGGGGGGGUUUUUUU